CAGCGUGUGACGCAGAGCAGGUGCUUUGGCCACAAAGGUAAAGAGCCUGUGAGAACAUCCAGCCCCCAAGACAUGCUCAGAAAUAAAAGCGAAACACCCAGCAUGGAGCCCAGCACAUGGGCAGUACGAGAACGGAGUAACACAGAGGGAAAUUCUGGCACAUGCGACAACGUGGAGGAGCCUUGAAGACACUACGCUCAGUGAAAGAAGCCAGUCCCCGGCCAGGCGCGGCGGCUCAUGCCUGUCAUCCCAGCACUUUGGGAGGCUGAGGUUGCUUCCAAUGGUGGAAAUGAGUCAUUACAACAGAGACCUGGAGACCACAAACCCUAAAAUACCACGUCAGAUCCGCAUGCGGAACACCCUAUUGCCAAAUAUCUGCUUGGAGCUGUGUACAUUUUUCCUCGAUCCCACGACUAAAACCAAUUGUAG